rnacentral:rRNA from 1 species
AUUUAACGGCCGCGGUAUACUGACCGUGCGAAGGUAGCAUAAUCACUUGUUCUUUAAAUGGGGACUAGUAUGAACGGCACCACGAGGGCUUUACUGUCUCCUCCCUUCAAUCAGUGAAACUGACCUCCCUGUGAAGAGGCAGGGAUACUACUAUAAGACGAGAAGACCCCAUGGAGCUUUAAACCCAACAGCAGCCCGAACACCCCCCCCAUCAUAGUUUUUAAGGUAUUGUCAGUUGGUUUUAGGUUGGGGUGACCGCGGAGCAUAAACUACCCUCCACGACGAAUGGGCCUACCCCCUUACCCAAGAAUUACACCUCUAAGGAUUAAUACAUUAACGUUAAGUGAUCCAAAUAUUUGAUCAACGAACCAAGUUACCCUGGGGAUAACAGCGCAAUCCAUUUUUAGAGCCCCUAUCGACAAAUGGGUUUACGACCUCGAUGUUGGAUCAGGGUAUCCCGGAGGUG